rnacentral:rRNA from 1 species
UGCGGGGGGAGCAAGCGUUGUUCGGAUUUACUGGGCGUAAAGGGCGCGUAGGCGGCCACCGCAAGUCGACUGUGAAAUCUCCGGGCUUAACCCGGAAAGGUCAGCCGAUACUGCGGGGCUAGAGUGCAGAAGGGGCAACUGGAAUUCUCGGUGUAGCGGUGAAAUGCGUAGAUAUCGAGAGGAACACCUGCGGCGAAGGCGGGUUGCUGGGCUGACACUGACGCUGAGGCGCGAAAGCUAGGGGAGCGAACGGG